GUGAAUCAUCGAAUUUUUGAACGCAAAUUGCACUCCCUGGUAUUCCGGGGAGUAUGCCUGCUUGAGGGUCGUUAGAAGAAAAAUCGAAGCAGCCCUCUUUUUUGGAGGGUGAUCGCGUCGGAAUUGAGCCGUCUUUCAAAUGUUAAUUCAUGUCAAAGUGGCUUAAAAUUCAUCCAUCCGGUACGAUUAAAGCGUAUUUAAGAUCAAUUUUGUUCAAGAAUGCGCGAUGACGUACCAUCUCAUGUAGUACGUUUGACCUGGGUCAUCAGGCUUAUUCAUAUACUAUACUCG
rnacentral:misc_RNA from 1 species